UACAGAGGUCUCAAGCGUUGUUCGGAUUCAUUGGGCGUAAAGGGUGCGUAGGUGGCGGGGUAAGUCAGGUGUGAAAUUUCGGAGCUUAACUCCGAAACUGCAUUUGAUACUGCCUUGCUUGAGGACUGGAGAGGAGACUGGAAUUCACGGUGAUAGCAGUGAAAUGCGUAGAUAUCGUGAGGAAGACCAGUGGCGGAAGGCGG
rnacentral:rRNA from 1 species